rnacentral:rRNA from 1 species
GUAGGUGAACCUGCGGAGGGAUCAUUACCGAGUUUACAACUCCCAAACCCCUGUGAACAUACCUUACUGUUGCCUCGGCGGAUCAGCCCGCUCCCGGUAAAACGGGACGGCCCGCCAGAGGACCCCUAAACUCUGUUUCUAUAUGUAACUUCUGAGUAAAACCAUAAAUAAAUCAAAACUUUCAACAACGGAUCUCUUGGUUCUGGCAUCGAUGAAGAACGCAGCAAAAUGCGAUAAGUAAUGUGAAUUGCAGAAUUCAGUGAAUCAUCGAAUCUUUGAACGCACAUUGCGCCCGCCAGUAUUCUGGCGGGCAUGCCUGUUCGAGCGUCAUUUCAACCCUCAAGCCCUCGGGUUUGGUGUUGGGGAUCGGCGAGCCUUUCUGGCAAGCCGGCCCCGAAAUCUAGUGGCGGUCUCGCUGCAGCCUCCAUUGCGUAGUAGUAAAACCCUCGCAACUGGAACGCGGCGCGGCCAAGCCGUUAAACCCCCAACUUCUGAAUGUUGACCUCGGAUCAGGUAGGAAUACCCGCUGAACUUAAGCAUAUCAAUAAGCGGAGG